rnacentral:rRNA from 1 species
CCCUUAGAUGUUCUUGGCCGCACGCGUGCUACACUGAGUGGAUCAGCGGGUCAGGUUGCGCGAAAGUGUUUCCUAAUCUUGAAAUCCGCUCGUGAUGGGGAUUGACGGUUGCAAUUUUCCGUCAUGAACGAGGAAUACCUUGUAAGCGCGGGUCAUCAUCCCGCGCUGAAUACGUCCCUGCCCUUUGUACACACCGCCCGUCGCUCCUACCGAUUGAGUGGUCCGGUGAGGCUUUGGGAUCUGAGCGGAAAGAGCGUUUCGCUGUUUCUGCUCGGAAAACUCAGUCGAACCUUAUCAUUUAGAGGAAGGAGAAGUCGUAACA